GGGGAAAGUUCCUUCAACUUCAGAGUCUGCAACCCGCUUAGCCCCAGGUGGAAUCCCUGAGGGCCUGUCUGCAUUGCGCUGAGAUCUUGUCUGCCGGAGUUACCACCUUCAAAGAGUAGCUUGGUACAAAUUUGUUUCUGGGGAAAAAAGACAUUCGAAUGUGCCUCGGCUUCAUAGGGAAGUGAAUGGGAAGAUGUCCAUUAAACAUAAGUGAAUGUAGGAUCCAGUUCCAGGCUUUAAAAUGGAAAUGACUGAGGUUUUUCUGGGUUAAUGACAACUUCUGUCUCAAAUGCAACUGCCAUGAAAGGAAAGAGGUUCCUUUUGCAGGACCAGGUAAGGCAGGAGAGAGAUGGACACUCUGACCUGCAAAUGUCUCUUCAUCCUGGAAAGUGAGAUUCUGCUUUUUACCAGCUUCCCUUUCAGGCUGGCCAGUGUGAGGCACGCAGCUCUCGGGAACACUCUUGGAGUGUCUCAAGGAAGCCCUGCUCUGCAAACCUGGAGUCAGCACAGCUCUAUUUCACUGUCACUUCUGACUGCUGAGGGGGACUUGCAGGUCUUCUGCCUGUUGGGAAGAGAGCUGCUGAAAAACAUCUCCUUCUGA
rnacentral:lncRNA from 1 species